AGCAGCCGCGGUAAUUCCAGCUCCAAUAGCGUAUAUUAAAGUUGUUGCAGUUAAAAGCUCGUAGUUGAAUUUCGGGAUCAUAAGGUUGGUCGUGCCUCUGGUAUGUACUGAUCUCGAUGGUUCCUCCUUCUUGGAGAACCGUAAUGGCAUUAAUUUGUUGUUGCGGGGAAACAGGACUGUUACUUUGAAAAAUUGAGUGUUUAAAGCAGGCAAUCGCUUGAAUACAUUAGCAUGGAAUAAUGAAAUAGGACGUUCGAUCCUAUUUGUUGGUUUCUAGGAUUGACGUAAUGAUUAAUAGGGAUAGUUGGGGGCAUUAGUAUUCAAUUGUCAGAGGUGAAAUUCUUGGAUUUAUUGAAGACUAACUACUGCGAAAGCAUUUGCCAAGGAUGUUUUCAUUAAUCAAGAACGAAAG
rnacentral:misc_RNA from 1 species